AUGAAGGGAGAGGAAACCACGGAAGUGCUGCGUGCGAGGCUCACCCUAUAGGAGGAGGAAGAGGAUGAUUUCGUCUGGGAGGAAGAGUUGCCGGACAUGGCGGAACCAGCGAAGUGGCUGGCGAUCGUCAGAGUCCAUACACCAAAAACUUUCAGCCCCAAUGCUCUGUAUGGGGAUAUGCGGGCAGCAUGGAAUCCGGCACGACCGGUGGUGUGGACGAAGAUCCGUGAGAACCUCUUCACGGCGCAGUUUGGUUGUCUGGGGGGAAUGGAACAAGGCGAUGUCAGAAGGCCCAUGGUUGUUCAGAGAUCAAGCAGUUAUUAUGGAGGAGUACGACGGGUUCAAAAACCCAGAUUCGUUCAAACUGGAUAA
rnacentral:rRNA from 1 species